rnacentral:rRNA from 1 species
UACGAAGGGGGCUAGCGUUGCUCGGAAUUACUGGGCGUAAAGGGUGCGUAGGCGGGUCUUUAAGUCAGGGGUGAAAUCCUGGAGCUCAACUCCAGAACUGCCUUUGAUACUGAAGAUCUUGAGUUCGGGAGAGGUGAGUGGAACUGCGAGUGUAGAGGUAAAAUUCGUAGAUAUUCGCAAGAACACCAGUGGCGAAGGCGGCUCACUGGCCCGGAACUGACGCUGAGGUGCGAAAGCGUGGGGAGCAAACAGG